rnacentral:rRNA from 1 species
UACGAAGGGGGCUAGCGUUGUUCGGAUUUACUGGGCGUAAAGCGCACGUAGGCGGAUUGUUAAGUCAGGGGUGAAAUCCUGGAGCUCAACUCCAGAACUGCCUUUGAUACUGGCAAUCUUGAGUCCGGAAGAGGUGAGUGGAACUCCUAGUGUAGAGGUGGAAUUCGUAGAUAUUAGGAAGAACACCAGUGGCGAAGGCGGCUCACUGGUCCGGUACUGACGCUGAGGUGCAAAAGCGUGGGGAGCAAACAGG